UACGGAGGGUGCAAGCGUUAUCCGGAUUUACUGGGUUUAAAGGGUGCGUAGGUGGGUCUGUAAGUCAGUGGUGAAAUCUCCGAGCUUAACUCGGAAACUGCCAUUGAUACUAUAGGUCUUGAAUUAUCUGGAGGUAAGCGGAAUAUGUCAUGUAGCGGUGAAAUGCUUAGAUAUGACAUAGAACACCAAUUGCGAAGGCAGCUUACUACGGAUCGAUUGACACUGAGGCACGAAAGCGUGGGGGAUCAAACAGG
rnacentral:rRNA from 1 species